rnacentral:rRNA from 1 species
GGUGAACCUGCGGAGGGAUCAUUACCUAGUAGUUUGUAGACUUCGGUCUGCUACCUCUUACCCAUGUCUUUUGAGUACCUUCGUUUCCUCGGUGGGUCCGCCCGCCGACUGGACAACAUUCAAACCCUUUGCAGUUGCAAUCAGCGUCUGAAAAAAACAUAAUAGUUACAACUUUCAACAACGGAUCUCUUGGUUCUGGCAUCGAUGAAGAACGCAGCGAAAUGCGAUAAGUAGUGUGAAUUGCAGAAUUCAGUGAAUCAUCGAAUCUUUGAACGCACAUUGCGCCCCUUGGUAUUCCAUGGGGCAUGCCUGUUCGAGCGUCAUUUGUACCUUCAAGCUCUGCUUGGUGUUGGGUGUUUUGUCUCGCCUCUGCGUGUAGACUCGCCUUAAAACAAUUGGCAGCCGGCGUAUUGAUUUCGGAGCGCAGUACAUCUCGCGCUUUGCACUCAUAACGACGACGUCCAAAAGUACAAUUUUACACUCUUGACCUCGGAUCAGGUAGGGAUACCCGCUGAACUUAAGCAU